AUCCAGACUCCUACGGGAGGCAGCAGUGGGGAAUAUUGCACAAUGGGGGGAACCCUGAUGCAGCGACGCCGCGUGGGUGAAGGAGCACCUCGGUGCGUAAAGCCCUAUCGGCAGGGAAGAAACAGACGGUACCUGGCUAAGAAGCCCCGGCUAACUACGUGCCAGCAGCCGCGGUAAUACGUAGGGGGCAAGCGUUAUCCGGAUUUACUGGGUGUAAAGGGAGCGUAGACGGCAGAGCAAGUCUGAAGUGAAAGCCCGCGGCCCAACUGCGGGACUGCUUUGGAAACUGCCCGGCUAGAGUGCUGGAGAGGUAAGCGGAAUUCCUAGUGUAGCGGUGAAAUGCGUAGAUAUUAGGAGGAACACCAGUGGCGAAGGCGGCCUGCUGGGCUUUUACUGACGCUGAGGCUCGAAAGUGUGGGGAGCAAACAGGAUUAGAUACCCGUGUA
rnacentral:rRNA from 1 species